GUCGAACGGGUGCGUAACACGGUGGGUCACCUUCCCUUAUGUGGGGGAUAACCCGCCGAAAGGGGGGCUAUAUACCGCAUAACAUUCCGAUGGCUUCGGCUGACUGGAAUCAAAUGCCUGCAAAGUGCGCAAGAGUGAUGGGGCCCGCGGUCCGAUUAGCUAGGUUGUGCGAGGUAAUUGGCUCACCAAGGCAAUGAUCGGUAGCCGGUCUGAUGAGGAUGGCCGGCCACACUGGGAACUGAGACACGGUCCAGACUCCAUACGGGAGGCAGCAGUGGGGAAUCUUGCGCAAUGGGCGAAAGCCUGACGCAGCAACGCCGCGUGGGGGAUGAAGCUUUUCGGAGUGUAAACCCCUUUUCGACCCGGAAGAAUGCCCGCACCGGGUUUGACGGUACGGGUAUAAGAAGCCCCGGCUAACUACGUGCCAGCAGCCGCGGUAAAACGUAGGGGGCCAGCGUUGCUCGGAAUUACUGGGCGUAAAGGGCGCGUAGGCUGGCCAUUCAAGUUAGAUGUGAAAGCCCUGGGCUCAACCUAGGAAUUGCAUUUGAUACUGUUUGGCUUGAGUUCGGGGAGAGGUGAGUGGAAUUCCCAGUGUAGAGGUGAAAUU
rnacentral:rRNA from 1 species